UCAUCAGCGGCUCAGUCAUCCCUGGAGGCCUGGGAUGGGGCAGGAAGAGAGGACAAAGUUCAGUUUUCUCAUGAAGACACAUUGAGGUGUUUCCACAUCUGUGCCUUCUUCUAGACUGUAAACCCUUUGAGGGUAAGACCUGGGCCUGGCUUCUCUCCCUACCCUCACACCUGGCCCGGAGAGGGCCCGGUGCCAGCGCCCGGCAAACAAGCCUGUGGAGAGACAGCACGUCCUCCUGAGUCAUCAGAUUUCACGGGGCUGAGCUGAAGCCCUGCUUGUCAGCAUGUUGCUCACUGAUGGGAAAAGCUUUCCUGUGGUCUAGACACUCCUGACUCCAGUCUAAGGAGACCUUCUAAAGAAGGUUUCGUCCCUCAUCCUGUGUGGCAGGGGCUCACAGUGUAGUGGUUACAAAACCCGUGAGCUCUGGAACCGGACAGACCUAAGUGGGCAUCAGAGCUUCCAUUCUUCCUCGAGAAGCUCUCUGGGCUUCAGUUUUCUCGUCUGUAAAAUGAGCACAGUCAUAGUAUCUCUCCAGGAGCUCAGCUGUGACGAUGAACUGGGGUAUGACUUUGUGCCUGGACCCACGAUUAUGCAAAGCUAUCCUUGUCCUUAAUCAUAACUCCCAGCGAGGCAGGGCUCAGGGCUGGUGAGCAUCCCUGCGGGCUCCGAAUCCUGCCCCUCUUUCCACCAGCCUCUCAGUCCAGUUCCACGUCGGGCCAGAGCAAAAUGGGAAAGCUGUGCGUGUUCUGGGCCUCUGGGGGAGUCUUCCAGUGGCUGAAUCUGUGAAUGAUGCUUCUGCAGGUGCCAGGACCCGACAGCCCCAUCCUCGCCCAGCGCCAGAGUCUGCCUGCCAGCCCCUUGUCAGCGGUUACAACCAGCAGCUGCCUCCCGCUGCCCGAGUUUUAUCAAAAGCUCGGUUGAGAGAAAUAAAGUUCAUGGGGGUUACUUAAAGGCCAUGCAUUCCAUCCAUUCUUCCAGAUGAGACUUAUCCCUGAAUCGAGUCGGGCUCUCAUGAAGCUGAGUUGCUCUUGGACCACAUGAUUCAGCUGCCACAAAAUCUUUAUUAUGUCCCUCCCUUAUGAUGGGGCUUUGUGGAAAAAUGGCUGGAGGAGGCAGGCUGCAUUUAUUCUGGGAUGCUGUUGUUGCUAGUUCCUGCUGCCCCAGUCAGUGCUCUCU